GCUGUAGCUUCCUCUGCGUAGUAAUACACCUCGCUCUGGAGUCUCGGUGCGACCACGCCGUAAAACCCCCAACUUUUUCUGGUUGACCUCGAAUCAGGUAGGACUACCCGCUGAACUUAAGCAUAUCAAUAAGCGGAGGAAAAGAAACCAACAGGGAUUGCCCUAGUAACGGCGAGUGAAGCGGCAACAGCUCAAAUUUGAAAUCUGGCCCUCGGGUCCGAGUUGUAAUUUGUAGAGGAUGCUUUUGGUGAGGUGCCUUCCGAGUUCCCUGGAACGGGACGCCAUAGAGGGUGAGAGCCCCGUCUGGUUGGACACCGAACCUCUGUAAAGCUCCUUCGACGAGUCGAGUAGUUUGGGAAUGCUGCUCUAAAUGGGAGGUAUAUGUCUUCUAAAGCUAAAUACCGGCCAGAGACCGAUAGCGCACAAGUAGAGUGAUCGAAAGAUGAAAAGCACUUUGAAAAGAGAGUUAAAAAGUACGUGAAAUUGUU
rnacentral:rRNA from 1 species